rnacentral:rRNA from 1 species
GACGAACGCUGGCGGCGUGCUUAACACAUGCAAGUCGAGCGGAAAGGCCAGGCUUUUGUGGGGUGCUCGAGUGGCGAACGGGUGAGUAACACGUGAGUAACAUGCCCUUGACUUUGGGAUAACUUCAGGAAACUGGGGCUAUUACCGGAUAGGAGCUCUUGCAGCAUGGGGGGGGUUGGAGAGUUUCGGCGGUAGUGGCUGUACUCGCGGCUUAUGAGCUGGGUGGUGGGGUAGGGGCUGACCACGGCUGUGACGGGUAGCCGGCAUGAGAGGGUGACCGGCCACAAUGGGACUGAGAUAGGGACCAGAAUGGUACGGGAGGCAGCAGUGGGGAAUCUUACGGAGUGGGCGGAAGCCUGAGGCAACAACGUCGCGUGCGGGAUGACGUCUUACGAGUGAUAAACCACUUUGGAAUGUGAUGAAGCGUGAGUGACGGUAACGGGUCAGGAAGCAACGGCUAACUACGUG